UUAAGAGCUUGCUCUUAUGAAGUUAGCGGCGGACGGGUGAGUAACACGUGGGUAACCUGCCCAUAAGACUGGGAUAACUCCGGGAAACCGGGGCUAAUACCGGAUAACAUUUUGAACCGCAUGGUUCGAAAUUGAAAGGCGGCUUCGGCUGUCACUUAUGGAUGGACCCGCGUCGCAUUAGCUAGUUGGUGAGGUAACGGCUCACCAAGGCAACGAUGCGUAGCCGACCUGAGAGGGUGAUCGGC
rnacentral:rRNA from 2 species